rnacentral:misc_RNA from 1 species
CAGUACGAUGUACACAUUUUUGAGUGCCUAUAUUUAUCUAUUCAACUGUGCACGCAGUGCACGCAGAAUGGUGUUUUGCUGCCUUCGGUGGCUGGCAAAACAUUCAAGACGCUCAGCGGCUCGGGGUUUUCGUUCGCGGACGGCCACACUGGUGCGCACGCACGCGACUGAACGGACGACGACGGUGAGAAUACAUCCCACACACCAACCUGGCUUGGGCGCCGAUGUAGCAUCUCUCACGCCACGUCGUCGUCGUCACACGUUCGUUCGGUCAUCCGGCGUCGUCGCGGUACCGCGUCCACAGAACAGAACAACCCAACACACGAGCAGCGAACGACAAGCGAUAAGAUAAACCCCCCAUGUAGGCCUCAAAUAAUGUGUGACUACCCCCUAAAUUUA